UACAGAGGUGGCAAGCGUUGUUCGGAUUUACUGGGCGUAAAGGGUGCGUAGGCGGUUCUGCAUGUCGGAUGUGAAAUCCCGCGGAUUAUCCGUGGAACGGCAUUCGAAACUGCAGGGCUAGAGUUCAGGAGAGGAGAGCGGAAUUCUCGGUGUAGCGGUGAAAUGCGUUGAUAUCGAGAGGAACGCCGGAGGCGAAGGCGGCUCUCUGGACUGUGACUGACGCUGAGGCACGAAAGCUGGGGGAGCAAACAGG
rnacentral:rRNA from 1 species